GGGUAGUUUGACUGGGGCGGUCUCCUCCCAAAGAGUAACGGAGGAGCACGAAGGUUAGCUAAUCCUGGUCGGACAUCAGGAGGUUAGUGCAAUGGCAUAAGCUAGCUUGACUGCGAGCGUGACGGCGCGAGCAGGUGCGAAAGCAGGUCAUAGUGAUCCGGUGGUUCUGAAUGGAAGGGCCAUCGCUCAACGGAUAAAAGGUACUCCGGGGAUAACAGGCUGAUACCGCCCAAGAGUUCAUAUCGACGGCGGUGUUUGGCACCUCGAUGUCGGCUCAUCACAUCCUGGGGCUGAAGUAGGUCCCAAGGGUAUGGCUGUUCGCCAUUUAAAGUGGUACGCGAGCUGGGUUUAGAACGUCGUGAGACAGUUCGGUCCCUAUCUGCCGUGGGCGCUGGAGAAUUG
rnacentral:rRNA from 1 species